GAUGAACGCUAGCGGCAGGCCUAAUACAUGCAAGUCGAGGGGUAGAAGAGGCUUGCUUCUUUGAGACCGGCGCACGGGUGCGUAACGCGUAUGCAACCUACCUUCUUCUUGGGGAUAGCCCGGAGAAAUCCGGAUUAAUACCGCAUAAAAUCACAGGAUGGCAUUAUCCAAUGAUCAAACAUUUAUGGGAUUGAUAUGGGCAUGCGUGUCAUUAGCUAGUUGGAGGGGUAACGGCAUAACAAGGCGAAGAAGACUAGGGGAUCUGAGAGGAUGGACCCCCAGACUGUUACUUGGGAGAGGAGCGGACUCCGUCGUGAGGCAGCAGUAAGGAAUAUUGGUCAAUGGAGGCAACUUUGACACAGCCAUGCCGCGUGGAGGAAGACUGCCCUAUGGAUUGUAAACUGCUUUUAUUCGGGAAUAAACCUGAUUACGUGGAAUAAGCUGAAUGUACCGAAGGAAUAAGGAUCGGCUAACUCCGUGCCAGCAGCCGGGUAA
rnacentral:rRNA from 1 species